rnacentral:rRNA from 1 species
GACGAACGCUGGCGGCGUGCUUAACACAUGCAAGUCGAACGGAAAGGCCCUGCUUUUGUGGGUUGCUCGAGUGGCGAACGGGUGAGUGACACACGAGUAACCUGCCCUUGUCUUUGGGAUAACUUCAGGAAACUGGGGCUAAUACCGGGUAUGAGCUCCUGCUGCAUUUGGUGGGUUGGGAAGUUUCGGUGGUGGGGGAUGGACUCGCUGCUUACCAGCUUGUUGUUGGGGUAGUGGCUUUCCAGGGCUUUGACGGGUAGCCGGCCUGAGAGGGUGAACGGCCACAUUGGUACUGAGAUACGGCCCAGACUCCUACGGGAGGCAGCAGUGGAGACUCUUGCACACUGGGCGGAAGCCUGAUGCAGGAACGCCGCGGGCGGGAUGAAGGCCUUUGGGUUGUAAACCGCUUUGGACUGUGACGAGGCGUGAGUGACGGUAAUGGGUAAAGAAGCACCGGCUAACUACGUG